GCAAGAGUCGCGGUCGAAAGCUAGUAAUUCAGUAAAAGAAAGCAAUUUUUCCUCGAGUAACGCACACCGGCACGUCUCCUAGAGACGCUAUUUAAUUUGAUUCCAAGGAAAGCUUUCAAAGAACCUUUCAAGACAAGACGGAAUGUUUUCUGCAAAUUACGAUCCGCUGCGCUCCCUUCGAGGCAGAUAGAAAAGGCAAUAAGAAGAAAUAGAGGAGAAAGAAAUGUCGACACCACAAAUAGUAAAAAGAUGCGCUCAUAUCAGUAUUGCGAUUUAAAAAGUCGCGAGGUAAAUAUGAAAACAAUAGAGAUUUCUCACAAUUCCUAUAACUACACGAAAUGCAGACCCAAUCACUCGUCGUCUACGUAGAAACUAGUCUAUUUGUUUGCUUGGAUGGUUCGAUGCGAUCCAAUUACAAGUCUGCUCCGUCAAAGGCAAUACUCAAAGCGCCUUGUCAACUCGACUGCUUCCACCCCGCUGCAUCGGAGCUUGAGAGCUUUGAUUGUUGGAAAUAGACACGGAAAAUGUCUCGCAAAUUAUAUGACGCUCGUAAAUAAAGCUAAGUAUUUGACUUAUAUUAAUUUAAUUGUUAAAUGUUUAGAUGUUUUGAUAAACUUACUGUGUAAUUGAAAUGUUUUAAUUAAAUCGGUAAGAGUUGUAUAAAUUGGUAGUAUUCCAAUGCUGGCUGCCAGUUGGCAAUACCAUCGAAAUAGUUUCAUUACUGCUAAGUUCCUGAUAAUGACUAUAAAAGUUUUCCUAAACCUAUUACAUCGUCCUAUUAAACAGAAUGUAUACUCAGUGGUUACUCCUAAUUCGGAUAAUAAAUGUUUAACCGACGACUAAUU